rnacentral:rRNA from 1 species
AAUGAACGCUGGCGGCGCGCCUAAUACAUGCAAGUCGAGCGAGAAGACGUAGCAAUACGUUUGUAAAGCGGCGAACGGGUGAGGAAUACAUGGGUAACCUACCCUCGAGUGGGGAAUAACUAGCCGAAAGGUUAGCUAAUACCGCGUACGCUUCUUGGACUUCGGUUCAGGGAGGAAAGCGAUGCCGAGGGUAUCGCGCUCUUGGAUGGGCUCAUGUCCUAUCAGCUUGUUGGUGAGGUAACGGCUCACCAAGGCUUCGACGGGUAGCUGGUCUGAGAGGACGAUCAGCCACACUGGCACUGCGACACGGGCCAGACUCCUACGGGAGGCAGCAGUAAGGAAUAUUGCGCAAUGGGCGAAAGCCUGACGCAGCGACGCCGCGUGGGGGAGU